rnacentral:lncRNA from 1 species
AGAAAAGCCCAUUAGUCACUAAGGUCUGUGAGUCUGAUGAAACACUGAACAAUAUAGAAAAAUGUAAGCUGAGAGGACCCAGGUGAAAAAUAAACAAAAUAGCCACAGGAAUGAAUGACCUUGAAUUAUUUCAGGAGAAAAUUCACUAUAAAUCCAAAGCUAGUUUCUAAGGAUAUCAGCACAAAGGUAUUAAAUAUUUGAGCAUGCUCAGUUCAGUAAAAUGAUUGGGUUUCUGUGUUUGGGUGGCGUCCAAGAUGGAGGCCAGAGGGAAAGGAGGAGAUCAGAGGUAGAUGAAUAUCCUUCAAGUAGCUAAGCACUGAGACGUUUGUGGUGCCAUCCCAAUAUGUAAUUCAACAUAAGACAGCAGCGAGGUCUCAAAAAGCAUCUUCUUAAAAAUGUAAGAAAAUACAAAUAAGCUUUUUUUAAAAAAAAAUCAAUAUGAUGAACUUAAUAAUUUUCUCUUGAAAAAUUAAAUACUAAAUACUUUUACCUAAUUAUUACCUAAUUAUUUUUCUCUUUUGGGAGGCCCCCAUUCUGCUCAUGGCCUAAACUUGCUAUCUAAUGGUUAGUCUGCCUCUGUGCUAUAUA